GGCAGCUCAAGGCCUGGCCUGGAGCUCGCUCCCUGCAGUGUGUGGGGCUGGAGGGGCACGACCGAGACCGCAGCAAGAGGUGGGAGCUGCUGCCCAGCAAGAGGGCACAGGAAACGGGAUCCUGCAGGAGGACUGUAAUGUGUUCAAGGUUCCAGAGAAGCUCCCUUCCAUUCUAGAGGAGGAGGUAUGCCACUGCUGCGGGCCGUGUGCACCCACAUGUGAGUACCCUGCAUAAGUCCAGGGGCACACAACUCGCUCAGGUCCCCCACGGAGG
rnacentral:lncRNA from 1 species